rfam:Ornithorhynchus anatinus chromosome 7, whole genome shotgun sequence.
ACUGGUACAGUCAUGAUUUUACCUUUAUGCCGUUUACCCAGCUGAAUGUUUCUUUGAUUGAAGUUUUGAAGUCUGAGAUGCCAGU